GUGGCUGAGAUCCGGGUUGAGAUGGAGCUUCGCGAUGAGAUUUUGCCCAGAGCCCAAAAAUAUCCAGAGUCGUCUGGACCGGCAGACCAUUGAGACAGAGGAGGUAUGAGUGACUUGGCCUGGUGGGGAGGGGGACAGGGGCCUGGAGCCCUCUCUCAGGUUCAGCUGCCCUACUACUCCCUCCUAGCUGCUUUAGACUUCCUGUCCUACAUUAUCACCUACUUCUUACCGCCCUGGUGCUAUCCCCUCCUCAGGUGAACAAGACGCUGAAGGCAACACUGCAGGCUCUGUUGGAGGUGGUGACAUCCGACGAUGUAGACAUGCUGGACUCUUUCCAGGCCAGCCCUCCACUGAGUCCCUCAAGUCCACUAGCUCAGACCCAGGCACCCGGCAGGCAGGCCGGAGACGGGGCCAGCAGCAGGAAACGGAGACCUUCUACAUCACGGUGUGGCCAGGCGGGUGGGGGGGGCCCCACAGGGCAGGAGGGGGCAGAAGGUGCCCAGCCAGGUCUAAAAGUUUGGGCUCUUCUCUCGGCUUCCAGAAGCUCCAGGAAUAUCUGAGCGGCCGGAGCAUCCUUGCCAAGCUGCAGGCUAAGCAUGAGAUGCUGCAGGAGGCCAUACAAAGAGGUGGGUCCUAGUCCUGGCCUGCCCCUUCUUCCUCUCCUAGGGCCAGGCUCUGCACCUGCCCUCCUCUGCCUGGCCCAGACUCUGACCUGGCCCGUGUUCCCCUGCCAGAGAGGUUGUUUGACAUGAAGGAACUAAUCUAACAAGAGUCUCGGCCUUUCUCCUGCCCUUGGCCCCGGGCAUUUGAGCCACACUCCCCUCUUUGGGGUUCAUUGAGACCCACCCCCUCGCCUGAAAGGCAGGCCAACAUUUUCUCCUGUACAGGUGACAAGGAGGAGCAGGAGAUGUCUUGGUGAGUCCUUCACGAUGUGCUGGCUUGUUCGGAAGUCCCUCAUCUCUCUGUCCUCAGUGCCCAGCUCUGCCACCCAGUCCCCUGUGUCCUCAACAUCCCAUUUUGUCCAAUGGAUUCUGGAUAACUUGGAAGGUCCAGGGCCCAGUUUGGCUGGGCUGGGGGUGGGGCUUCCUUUUCUCCUGUGCCUCCCCUCAGAGCCGCAUCUCAUUUACUGCAGGACGCAGUACACACAGAGAAAAUUGCAGAAGAGUCGUCAGCCCCGCCCAGUUCUCAGUACAACCAGAGACUCUUUGGAGGAGACCUGGAGAAGUUUAUUCAGAGCUCAGGCCAACCUGUGCCCCUGGUGGUGGAGAGCUGUAUCCGCUUCAUUAACCUCAACGGUAAGCACAGCCCAGCUCCUGCUGCCCUGGCACCUGGCACCAGGCACCUGGUGCAGGUGGCCAGUCCUGGGAGGGAGGGGACACUGCCUGCCAGCUCCUUGUCUUCUGCAGGCCUGCAGCAUGAGGGCAUCUUCCGUAUAUCAGGUGCCCAGCCCCGAAUCUCAGAGAUCCGAGAAUGCCUUCGAGAGAGGUGGGGACAGGCAGGUGGGGGUGGCUGUUUGGGGCUCUGCAGACACAGUUGGCCUCCUCACCCCGCCAUGUUGCUCACCUGACUGCCCGCAGGGGAGGACCCUCUGGUGGAGGGCUGCACGCCCACGACCUCGACUCAGUGGCUGGCGUGCUGAAGCUCUACUUCCGGAGCCUGGACCCCCAUCUUCCCCCCAGACCUGUUUAAUGAACUGCUGGCUUCUGCAGGUGAGGCCAGGACCUGUGGCUGGGUGGGUGGGAAGGCCACUCUUUGGCUUAAGUCACUCUGCUCUCUUGGGAUGGCUUUGGCCACAGAGCUGGAGGCUGUGGUGGAACGGGUGGAACCUGUGAGCCAGCUGCUGACCCGACUGCCUGGACCGGUGCUGGUGGUCCUGCGCUACCUUUUUGCCUUCCUCAACCAGUGAGUGCUUCUGGGAGACAAGCUGGCAGUGGGGGGUGGAGGGGACAGCAGCGCUAUAGCUGUGACCCUCAUGUGACCCCCAUGUCCCCCAGCCUGGCCCAGUAAGUGACGAGAACAUGAUGGACCCCUACAACUUGGCCGUGUGCUUCGGGCCGACGUUGCUGCCUGUGCCUGCUGGGCAGGACCCCGUGGCCUUGCAGGGCCGGGUGAACCAGCUGGUGCAGACGCUCAUCCUGCAGCCGAUACGGGUUUUCCCAUCCCUAGCUGCACUGCCAGGCCCUGUCUAUGAGGAAGUGCAUGGCACACCUUCCGCCAGCUGUCUGGGGUAUGCUCUUGGUGCUGCCUGGGGGGUCCAGUGGAGGGGAAUCCCCCUCACUGCCUCACUCUGCUCUGAACAUCAGGGACACGCAGCUGGAGAGCCUUGCAGGGGAGAAUGAGCCAGAGCUGGAAGCUGGGAGCACCGCUCAUGAGGAUGGUGAGGUGCUGGAGAAGCUCUACCUUGUACCCUCUCUGGGUGCCCACUGCAUUGCCAGUCUGACCUCUCUUCUCCGCAGAUCUGGAUGGGGGGGUCGUGGAGGCUGUGGCCUGCUUUGGCCUACACUGGCCGCACAGCCCAGGAGCUGACAUUCCAGCGAGGGGACGUGCUGCGGCUGCAUGCUCGGGCAUCGAGUGACUGGUGGCGUGGGGAGCAUGCCGGCGUGCGAGGACUCAUUCCACACAAGUACAUCGCACUGCCUGAGGGGUGAGUGAACUGUGGCCUCGGCCCUCCUCAGGGCUUACAGCCGUCCUUCAGCCCAUCCUGUGCGCCGAGUCUCCAACCUACCUCUUUAA
ensembl:lncRNA